CCUACGGGGCGCAGCAGUGGGGAAUAUUGGACAAUGGGCGUAAGCCUGAUCCAGCCAUGCCGCGUGUGUGAAGAAGGCCUUCGGGUUGUAAAGCACUUUCAGUGGGGAAGAAAGCCUUGGGGCUAAUACCCUCGAGGAAGGACAUCACCCACAGAAGAAGCACCGGCUAACUCCGUGCCAGCAGCCGCGGUAAUACGGAGGGUGCGAGCGUUAAUCGGAAUUACUGGGCGUAAAGCGCGCGUAGGCGGUCUGAUAAGCCGGUUGUGAAAGCCCCGGGCUCAACCUGGGAACGGCAUCCGGAACUGUCAGGCUAGAGUGCAGGAGAGGAAGGUAGAAUUCCCGGUGUAGCGGUGAAAUGCGUAGAGAUCGGGAGGAAUACCAGUGGCGAAGGCGGCCUUCUGGACUGACACUGACGCUGAGGUGCGAAAGCGUGGGUAGCAAACAGGAUUAGAUACCCUAGUAGUC
rnacentral:rRNA from 1 species